rnacentral:lncRNA from 1 species
CUUGGGAGGAGACAUUUCUGGAUGGGGACGAGGCUGUGCGGGAGGGGAGGUGCCCAGCGCUGCCGGAAGCUUGUUCCUGCCGUGCCUAGAUUUACCCCCUCUGUGAACAAACAGAAGAAACAAGUAAGAAGAGCGUUGCAACACGCCUAUGCAGAUUCAUCAUUUACCAAAGUUGCGAGUCCUGAGUUUGGGCUUCAAAGGUGGCAACCUGGAAUACAGAGCUAUUUUUCUCAUUUAAUACCCUAUGGAGCUCUACUAUAUUUUUCAGCAAGGUGGUGGCACCAGGUACGUUAUAGUGCCAGCUUGUGACUGACAUCAGUUCCCAAAUCUCUGCAGUGUUGACACAAGCAGCAUUAUGAUGCUCAAACGUCUGGCUGUUGAUGUAAGGCAUAGUGUAAUAACUUCUAAAUACUUCUCUGGAUGUCUCCAUCAGUUGAGAAAGUGCACUGUUUUUCUUUAACUCCUUGAUUUUUGCUGGCAGUUUUCUGAUGCAUUAGAAACAUCUAUUUAUACAAUGCCACUCAGAGUUCCUCAAAGGAUGCUUCUUACCGGUAGACACUUCUAGAAAGGAUUCCUAUGCAUUAGGAAACAUCUAAAGACCUUUUAGAACAAUCUGGAAAAAACAAAUGAAACCAACACAAGCAGAAAAACAAACAGAGAACUAUGGGAGUAUUAGACAAUUGCAUUUUAUUCACUAACACAAAAACAGUUGAGAGCGUGAGGUGUUUUCAGAGAUGGGCUUAUCAUGUCUAAAUUCUUUGUUCUUGGUCUCCUCAGGUUCGAAAGUUCUUGAGGCAUACAUGAAAGCAACUAAAGAUGGUAAUUUUGCUUUUUUGUCUAGUAAUAUCCUUGGAUCUAUCAAGCUUCUAAGACCCUUUAAUUUGCAUAGCUUUUCUUCAACAGCGGACAAAAAGAGAACAAUAAUGUCCUAAUAUGAGUCAACAUCUAUAGUAUUAAAGGCAAAAGAGACUACAUGAUUAUAUUGACAAAAUGGGAACUAUAGCAAAAUUUCCAGUUAAAAAAAGUAAAUUUUGUUUCAUCUUACACCAUAUCGUCACAUGUACUACUGCCAGGGUGGACAUUAUUCUUAAACUGUUUGCAUUGCUGUACCAGAACCGGCUUUAAUUAUUUACUGAAUAAAAAU